rnacentral:lncRNA from 1 species
AUCAUGACCCAGGGUACACCCUGUGUCCACAAUGCAAAGAACUGCCUUCUAAGGAGGCACAGGUGAAAUGAUCUCAGCGCUCUGCCCACUUCGCACAGUGCUCAGUUCUGGGUCACACACACACAGGUACAGCAUUUUGUAGAAACUGCCAUAAAAAAAUGAAAUGCCCCAUGCCAUGGUUUAGAAGUCUAGAACAUGCUAAAACUGGAAGAAGAGGGUAUUUUAUUUUUAUGUAGCCUCCAUUUUUGCCUUCUCCUGGGGAACCUACAGGCAAGCAGCAUGCUUAUUUUGCUUUCAAACAUGCUAGAGUUGGAGGAACAGAACCGUCUGGAACUCCUGCAGUGACCACUUAAUCGUGUAUCUAUCUCUCUGAUGGUUUCCUGGAAGGAUGGCGCCAUACGCACAUAGUUGCUUAUGUC